rnacentral:rRNA from 1 species
UACAGAGGGUGCAAGCGUUGUUCGGAAUUACUGGGCGUAAAGCGAGUGUAGGCGGUUUGUCGCGUCUGCCGUGAAAUUUCGGGGCUCAACCCCGAACUUGCGGUGGGUACGGGCAGACUAGAGUGUGGUAGGGGAGACUGGAAUUCCUGGUGUAGCGGUGAAAUGCGCAGAUAUCAGGAGGAACACCGAUGGCGAAGGCAGGUCUCUGGGCCACUACUGACGCUGAGAAGCGAAAGCAUGGGGAGCGAACAGG